AGCAGCAUGACGCAGUCUGGUAACGCGCGACUGGGGUUUAUAUUUACCGCAACACCGAAGCCACUCGUUCGAAUCGAGCUGCUGCUA